UAACAAGGAUUCCCCUAGUAACUGCGAGUGAAGCGGGAAGAGCUCAAAUUUAAAAUCUGGCAGUCUUCUGGCUGUCCGAGUUGUAAUCUGGAGAAGCGUUUUCUGUGUUAGACCGUGUACAAGUCUCCUGGAACGGAGCGUCAUAGAGGGUGAGAAUCCCGUCCAUGACACGGACUACUAAUACUUUGUGAUACGCUCUCGAAGAGUCGAGUUGUUUGGGAAUGCAGCUCAAAAUGGGUGGUAAAUUCCAUCUAAAGCUAAAUACAGGCGAGAGACCGAUAGCGAACAAGUACCGUGAGGGAAAGAUGAAAAGCACUUUGGAAAGAGAGUUAAACAGUACGUGAAAUUGUUGAAAGGGAAACGCUUGAAGUCAGUCGCGUUGUGCAGAACUCAGCCUUGCCUCGGCUUGGUGUACUUUCUGCACAACGGGUCAACAUCAAUUUUGGCCCAUGGAGAAAGGUGGGGGGAAUGUAGCGCUGUUUCGGCAGCGUGUUAUAGCCCUCUAUUGUAUACAUGGGCUGGGAUUGAGGAUCGCAGCACGCCCUUGUGGCCGGGGGUUCGCCCUACGUACCGUGCUUAGGAUGUUGGCAGAAUGGCUUUAAGCGACCCGUCUUGAAACACGGACCAAGGAGUCUAACAUGCUUGCGAGUGUUCGGGUGGAAAACCCUUGUGCGUAAUGAAAGUGAAAGUUGGGAACCUCCGCAAGGGGGUGCACCGACGCCCGGCCCUGACGUUCUCUGACGGUGCUGCGGUAGAGCAAGUAUGCUAGGACCCGAAAGAUGGUGAACUAUGCCUGAAUAGGGCGAAGCCAGAGGAAACUCUGGUGGAGGCUCGUAGCGAUUCUGACGUGCAAAUCGAUCGUCAAAUUUGGG
rnacentral:rRNA from 2 species